rnacentral:rRNA from 1 species
CUCAAUGAAAUUAAAUAGCCGCAAUAUUUUGUGCUAAGGUAGCAUAAUCAUUUGUCUUUUAAUUAAAGACUAGAACGAAAGAUUUAACAUUUUUAUUUCUAUCUAAUAUAUAAUUAUUUAACUUAUUUCAAACAUAAAAAAAUGUUUACCUUUUAAGAAGACGACAAGACCCUAUUGAACUUUACUAAAGUUCAACUGGGGUAGUUAAUUAAAUAGAAUUUUAAUUUAAAUUUCAAAAACAACCUAAUAUAAUUAAAAAUAUCAAGUUACCAUAGGGAUAACAGCGUAAUAAUUUUCAUAAGUUCUUAUUUUAAAAAUUGCUUACGACCUCGAUGUUGAAUUAAUAAUCUAUUAAAUGCAAUAAUUUAAUAAGAAAGUCUGUUCGACUU